rnacentral:rRNA from 1 species
CCGUAACCGACGCUUCAUCGAGCGUGAAAUCGAGUAGGGCGGGACACGUGAUAUCCUGUCUGAAUAUGGGGGGACCAUCCUCCAAGGCUAAAUACUCCUGACUGACCGAUAGUGAACCAGUACCGUGAGGGAAAGGCGAAAAGAACCCCUGUGAGGGGAGUGAAAUAGAACCUGAAACCGUGUACGUACAAGCAGUAGGAGCACCUUCGUGGUGUGACUGCGUACCUUUUGUAUAAUGGGUCAGCGACUUAUAUUCAGUGGCAAGGUUAACCGUAUAGGGGAGCCGUAGCGAAAGCGAGUCUUAACUGGGCGCUCAGUCUCUGGAUAUAGACCCGAAACCGGGUGAUCUAGCCAUGGGCAGGUUGAAGGUUGAGUAACAUCAACUGGAGGACCGAACCGACUAAUGUUGAAAAAUUAGCGGAUGACUUGUGGCUAGGGGUGAAAGGCCAAUCAAACUCGGAGAUAGCUGGUUCUCCCCGAAAGCUAUUUAGGUAGCGCCUCGGACGAAUACUACUGGGGGUAGAGCACUGUUAAGGCUAGGGGGUCAUCCCGACUUACCAACCCUUUGCAAACUCCGAAUACCAGUAAGUACUAUCCGGGAGACACACGGCGGGUGCUAACGUCCGUCGUGGAGAGGGAAACAACCCAGACCGCCAGCUAAGGUCCCAAAGUAUUGCUAAGUGGGAAACGAUGUGGGAAGGCUCAGACAGCUAGGAUGUUGGCUUAGAAGCAGCCAUCAUUUAAAGAAAGCGUAAUAGCUCACUAGUCGAGUCGGCCUGCGCGGAAGAUGUAACGGGGCUAAGCAAUACACCGAAGCUGCGGCAAUGUCUUUUAGACAUUGGGUAGGGGAGCGUUCUGUAAGCCGUUGAAGGUGAAUCGUAAGGUUUGCUGGAGGUAUCAGAAGUGCGAAUGCUGACAUGAGUAACGACAAAGGGGGUGAAAAACCUCCUCGCCGGAAGACCAAGGGUUCCUGUCCAACGUUAAUCGGGGCAGGGUGAGUCGACCCCUAAGGUGAGGCCGAAAGGCGUAAUCGAUGGGAAACGGGUUAAUAUUCCCGUACUUCUGACUAUUGCGAUGGGGGGACGGAGAAGGCUAGGUGGGCCAGGCGACGGUUGUCCUGGUUCAAGUGCGUAGGCUUGAGAGUUAGGUAAAUCCGGCUCUCUCUAAGGCUGAGACACGACGUCGAGCUACUACGGUAGUGAAGUCAUUGAUGCCAUGCUUCCAGGAAAAGCCUCUAAGCUUCAGAUAGUCAGGAAUCGUACCCCAAACCGACACAGGUGGUCGGGUAGAGAAUACCAAGGCGCUUGAGAGAACUCGGGUGAAGGAACUAGGCAAAAUGGUACCGUAACUUCGGGAGAAGGUACGCUCUUGAUGGUGAAGUCCCUCGCGGAUGGAGCUGACGAGAGUCGCAGAUACCAGGUGGCUGCAACUGUUUAUUAAAAACACAGCACUGUGCAAAAUCGCAAGAUGACGUAUACGGUGUGACGCCUGCCCGGUGCCGGAAGGUUAAUUGAUGGGGUUAGCGCAAGCGAAGCUCUUGAUCGAAGCCCCGGUAAACGGCGGCCGUAACUAUAACGGUCCUAAGGUAGCGAAAUUCCUUGUCGGGUAAGUUCCGACCUGCACGAAUGGCGUAAUGAUGGCCACGCUGUCUCCACCCGAGACUCAGUGAAAUUGAAAUCGCUGUGAAGAUGCAGUGUACCCGCGGCUAGACGGAAAGACCCCGUGAACCUUUACUACAGCUUGGCACUGAACAUUGAACCUACAUGUGUAGGAUAGGUGGGAGGCUAUGAAGACGUGACGCCAGUUGCGUUGGAGCCGUCCUUGAAAUACCACCCUUGUAUGU